GUAGGUGGCAAGCGUUGUCCGGAAUUAUUGGGCGUAAAGCGCGCGCAGGCGGUCCUUUAAGUCUGAUGUGAAAGCCCACGGCUCAACCGUGGAGGGUCAUUGGAAACUGGGGGACUUGAGUACAGAAGAGGAAAGCGGAAUUCCAAGUGUAGCGGUGAAAUGCGUAGAGAUUUGGAGGAACACCAGUGGCGAAGGCGGCUUUCUGGUCUGUAACUGACGCUGAGGCGCGAAAGCGUGGGGAGCAAACAGGGAUUAGGUACCCUGGUAGUCCACGCCGUAAACGAUGAGUGCUAAGUGUUAGGGGGUUUCCCGCCCCCUUAGUGCUGCAGCUAACGCAUUAAGCACUCCGCCUGGGGAGUACGGCCGCAAGGCUG
rnacentral:rRNA from 1 species